rnacentral:tmRNA from 1 species
GGGGGUGCAUUGGAUUCGAUGGGAGACCUGAAGCGACGGAUGCAUACCGGGAAGCUUGUAACCCGUAAACUGCAGGCAAAUGUUAAUUGCGAACAAUGAACUCGCAAUGGCAGCCUAGUAAUAAAACACUAGCUACUGCCCGUUCGCUCACGAAUCGCCUGUGUUCGUGAACCGAGCGUCGACUUAGCAGGCUGGCAAAUCGGUGCAGGUCAGAGCCGGUGAGCGAGACAAAUCUGGCAUAGCCUUGGAGCGGUUCUUCGUCGUUUCUGCUUCCGAGCCAGGGUAAAAAUAGAAGCGAAGCGACUAAGUAUGUAGAUUCCUUCGGGGACGGCUGCCAGACGAGAGUUCGAUUCUCUCCACCUCCAUCA